rnacentral:rRNA from 1 species
GACGAACCGUACGAACGUUAUUCGGAAUUACUGGGCUUAAAGGGUGCGUAGGCGGCGCAGUAAGUUGGGUGUGAAAUCCCUCGGCUUAACCGAGGAAUUGCGCCCAAAACUACUGUGCUCGAGGGAGGUAGAGGUGAGCGGAACUUAGGGUGGAGCGGUGAAAUGCGUUGAUAUCCUAAGGAACACCGGUGGCGAAAGCGGCUCACUGGACCUCUUCUGACGCUGAGGCACGAAAGCUAGGGUAGCAAACGGGG